AUUGAACGCUGGCGGCGUGCCUAACACAUGCAAGUCGAGCGGUAACAGGUGUAGCAAUACAUGCUGACGAGCGGCGAACGGGUGAGUAAUGCUUCGGAAUCUGCCCAUGUAGUGGGGAAUAACCAGCCGAAAGGUUGGCUAAUACCGCAUACGACCUACGGGUGAAAGCAGGGGAUCGCAAGACCUUGCGCUAUUGGAUGAGCCGAAGUCGGAUUAGCUAGUUGGUAGGGUAACGGCCUACCAAGGCGACGAUUCGUAGCUGGUCUGAGAGGACGACCAGCCACACUGGGACUGAGACACGGCCCAGACUCCUACGGGAGGCAGCAGUGGGGAAUAUUGGACAAUGGGGGCGAACCCUGAUCCAGCGACGCCGCGUGUGUGAAGAAGGCCUGCGGGUUGUAAAGCACCUUUAGUGGGGAUGAAAAGCUCGGGGCUAAUACCUCCGGGUC
rnacentral:rRNA from 1 species